rnacentral:rRNA from 1 species
GUACACUCCUACGGGAGGCAGCAGUGGGGAAUUUUGGACAAUGGGCGAAAGCCUGAUCCAGCAAUGCCGCGUGAGUGAAGAAGGCCUUCGGGUUGUAAAGCUCUUUUGUCAGGGAAGAAACGGUGAGAGCUAAUAUCUUUUGCUAAUGACGGUACCUGAAGAAUAAGCACCGGCUAACUACGUGCCAGCAGCCGCGGUAAUACGUAGGGUGCAAGCGUUAAUCGGAAUUACUGGGCGUAAAGCGUGCGCAGGCGGUUUUGUAAGUCUGAUGUGAAAUCCCCGGGCUCAACCUGGGAAUUGCAUUGGAGACUGCAAGGCUAGAAUCUGGCAGAGGGGGGUAGAAUUCCACGUGUAGCAGUGAAAUGCGUAGAUAUGUGGAGGAACACCGAUGGCGAAGGCAGCCCCCUGGGUCAAGAUUGACGCUCAUGCACGAAAGCGUGGGGAGCAAACAGGAUUAGAAACCCCUGUAGUCCC